rnacentral:rRNA from 1 species
ACGGCUUCGGCCGUGCAUAGAGUGGCGAACGGGUGAGUAACACGUGACCAACCUGCCCCGCGCUCCGGGACAACCGCUGGAAACGGCGGCUAAUACCGGAUACUCCGGGAGGGCCCCAUGGCCCUGCCGGGAAAGCCGAGACGGCGCGGGAUGGGGUCGCGGCCCAUUAGGUAGACGGCGGGGUAACGGCCCACCGUGCCCGCGAUGGGUAGCCGGACUGAGAGGUCGACCGGCCACAUUGGGACUGAGAUACGGCCCAGACUCCUACGGGAGGCAGCAG